CUCUGAAAAAAAAGAUGCCCUGACAAAGACCAGAUUGGCUGCGGACCUGUGCCCAAUACAUCCAUGGAUUCCAAGUUUGCUGCAAAUGAGCAACCCAGGCAGGCCAGGCUUCCCCCUGGUAAAAGGAGAGAGGAUGGAUUGCAGGCUUAUUACUAAACAUUUCUUGCCCAGCACCUAACCCAGACUGAAACAGGAUUGGAAAAUUUCAGCGAGUGCUGUUUGCCUUCUUUCGAUGUCCUCGAGUUCUCCUCAGAAGCUUAAAGUGGAUUUUCAGACUUUUGGUAUCAGGAUUUCCAGAUUCUCUUUCUCUUCUAGUAAGGCAGGUAUUCUUAUUCGAGGCGAUAAUAAUGACAAGAGCUGCUCUUCAUGAAUCUACCCCUGUGUCGGGUUCUGCGGCAAAGCCCUUCACGAGAAGUGGUGAUACGGAGAGCUCAUUGGUAUGAAUGCAGGCUCGCUCAUACAAAAGUCAGAAAGGAACUCACAGGCGAAAAGGAGAGCAGAGGACUGGACUCAUGGCAGUUCUACUCAGGCGGGUCCCUUGUGCUGAAGCUCUGGGGACACAGACAAGAAGACAUAGUCACUGUCUUCCCGGAGCUCACUGUCUCAGCAGCACUGAAUGGAGUCUUCCUUCCCAGGCCCUGAUCUGCAUAAAACUAGGAAACAAGAAAA